rnacentral:rRNA from 1 species
UGGUUCAACUGAUUUGAAGAGCUUGCUCAGAUAUGACGAUGGACAUUGCAAAGAGUGGCGAACGGGUGAGUAACACGUGGGAAACCUACCUCUUAGCAGGGGAUAACAUUUGGAAACAGAUGCUAAUACCGUAUAACAAUGACAACCGCAUGGUUGUUAUUUAAAAGAUGGUUCUGCUAUCACUAAGAGAUGGUCCCGCGGUGCAUUAGCUAGUUGGUAAGGUAAUGGCUUACCAAGGCGAUGAUGCAUAGCCGAGUUGAGAGACUGAUCGGCCACAAUGGGACUGAGACACGGCCCAUACUCCUACGGGAGGCAGCAGUAGGGAAUCUUCCACAAUGGGCGAAAGCCUGAUGGAGCAACGCCGCGUGUGUGAUGAAGGGUUUCGGCUCGUAAAACACUGUUGUAAGAGAAGAAUGACAUUGAGAGUAACUGUUCAAUGUGUGACGGUAUCUUACCAGAAAGGAACGGCUAAAUACGUGCCAGCAGCCGCGGUAAUACGUAUGUUCCAAGCGUUAUCCGGAUUUAUUGGGCGUAAAGCGAGCGCAGACGGUUAUUUAAGUCUGAAGUGAAAGCCCUCAGCUCAACUGAGGAAUUGCUUUGGAAACUGGAUGACUUGAGUGCAGUAGAGGAAAGUGGAACUCCAUGUGUAGCGGUGAAAUGCGUAGAUAUAUGGAAGAACACCAGUGGCGAAGGCGGCUUUCUGGACUGUAACUGACGUUGAGGCUCGAAAGUGUGGGUAGCAAACAGGAUUAGAUACCCUGGUAGUCCACACCGUAAACGAUGAGUGCUAGGUGUUUGAGGGUUUCCGCCCUUAAGUGCCGCAGCUAACGCAUUAAGCACUCCGCCUGGGGAGUACGACCGCAAGGUUGAAACUCAAAUGAAUUGA